UCCCUAGGUCAUGGAGGGCAUUGUAUGAGCAUUGCAUAAGUAUAAGAAAGCAUCUCUUUAAGAAGAAAUGACUGGUUGGAAGGGCCCAGUGAAUUCCCCACCCCACAGAGGUCUACAGUGCAGCAGUCACAAGGCAGCAAGUUAAACUGGAGCUUUGGACAGUGUUGUGUUGUGGAUUUGCAGUUUAGGCUCCGUCUCCUUUUGGAAGGGUCUGUUCUGCCCUGGAAGGGUGUCAGGCUUCUUGCCUCACUGCCACACUGUGGGAAUGUUGCUGAGGGGGUUCUGUGCCUCCCACCAUCUCUCCUGAGUAACCACAGCUCCAUGCUGGACGACUCGGCAAACCACCAGAGGAGGUAGAUCUCUGCUGCUGGAGCAUGUCCUGACAUCUGAGCACCAAGGAAGGGCCAUGAGGAUGCCAGGGGAACAUCCUCUCCGUGUCAGUGUUAAUGUCAGACCUCCUGAGGGACAGCUGCAUGUUUUUAGACACUUAGGGGCAUGCUGUCCCCUGCCAUAAUUUGGCACCAGUUGAGUGCAUUUGACUUAAGAUGGAUGAAAUGUAAAGACCUCCAGUUAGACAGCUGUUGGGGAACAGCUUGAGGAAGGGAUGGUUUUAUUUCAAGAUGCACACUUCUUUCAGCUUGUAAUUCAGCCUUUCGCUUGUUUGGUGGUGCUCAUCUGAUGCCAUUGGUUUUUACAGCCUCCCUGUGAAACACCACUGCUUCAGAAAUGCCCCUUUCUCUUCUCUCCCCACAUUUUCUUUGAAUUUUUUUGCUUUCCUAUAGAAUAACCAAAAAGUGCAUAGGGUAAAGUGCCUCUGGAAAGGCAGAGAAAGCAUGAAUCAAUAGAAUAACAGAGUGCAAGCUGAGCACAUCCUCUCUACCCAGCAAUGGAAGUCAAAUUUAUUUUAUUUUUUCUGUUCUUAUUUGGUCAUCAGAAGCAGCAGUAAAGUCAAGACCAUCUGUUUUGGAGAUGUGUGGUCAUUUCUGCUAGGAGAGAGUACCAGUGAGCCUGCAUGUCAGGGCAGGAAUAGACAGGAACUGGCCCUUGUGCCAAGACUUUCUUGGUAAUCCAAGGAAUUCACCCACAAAAAAAGCUAAAUUAGUUCAAACUAUAGUCCAGAGGGGCCCUGGCGUCCUCAAGCUAUAAACAGAGAAGAGAAAUGGAUCUGAUAAAAAGCCACAUUUCUGGUAGGCUUGGAGGAAUGCAGUGUGCUCAGUACACGAAGGGAAUCUGCAUGGCUGUGCACAGGUCUUUACUCUGGGGCCAUGCACUACUGGCUGAUUAAAUCUUUUACUCCUGCUGGUGAAUAAUUAUCCGCCUGACCUGCUCCACCGCAGGCAGCAAGAAUACCCCAUUA
rnacentral:lncRNA from 1 species